CAGUUCACCAUAUAGAAGCAGUUCACCAUAUAGAAGCAUCGAAGCAUCUGGAUCGAGAUUUUAUAUCAGAUUUGAGAUUUUACCUGCAGAUAGUCAUAUAAUCGAGGUAAAAAGCUAGAAAAAAAACGAAGAAAAUAACAUUUGUGUUGAGAUAUAAUGACGAAGGGGCAACAAAACUGCCGGAUGAUAAGGAAGGUGAAUACAAAAGUGUUAAACGAAAAGCCAAAAAAGGAAAAAUAUAUUCAAAACUGCUCAUGGAUUGACAACAAGGACAUAUUUGAUGAAUAGGUUGACAUCUCGGAAAAUGAUAGACUAAGAGGCGUUGAAACAGGAGGAGUGUUGGAAGAUGCUUAGUAAAUGGAAAGACGAGCAGAAGGUGUGAGG